AUAUCGUGAUGAAGGUACUUUCAUAAUAACUCCUUGAACUGCUUUCAUGUCUCAUAUAAAGAUUCUCCAUCAAAUUUGUUGAAAUGAAGUGAUUCUGUUUUGGAGUUU
rfam:Gossypium arboreum cultivar AKA8401 contig_32200_3, whole genome shotgun sequence.